UACAGAGGUGGCAAGCGUUGUUCGGAAUUACUGGGCGUAAAGGGCGCGUAGGCGGCCUUCUAAGUCAGACGUGAAAUCCCCCGGCUUAACCUGGGAACUGCGUCUGAUACUGGGAGGCUUGAGUAUGGGAGAGGGAUGUAGAAUUCCAGGUGUAGCGGUGAAAUGCGUAGAUAUCUGGAGGAACACCUGAGGCGAAGGCGGGAUGCUGGGCCGACACUGACGCUGAGGCGCGAAAGCCAGGGGAGCAAACGGG
rnacentral:rRNA from 1 species